rnacentral:rRNA from 1 species
GAUCAUGGCUCAGGAUGAACGCUAGCUACAGGCUUAACACAUGCAAGUCGAGGGGCAGCAUUUUAGUUUGCUUGCAAACUGAAGAUGGCGACCGGCGCACGGGUGAGUAACACGUAUCCAACCUGCCGAUAACUCCGGAAUAGCCUUUCGAAAGAAAGAUUAAUAUCGGAUGGCAUACGAACAUCGCAUGAUAUUUUUAUUAAAGAAUUUCGGUUAUCGAUGGGGAUGCGUUCCA